UGCACUUUGUAUCGCGGUCAAGGCAAGAGCUAUCAGCAGCCUUAUCAUGGGUUUUGAAAUCCUCUUUCAAUGCCAAGGUGAUGCUUUCAGCCCACUAUUGUUUGGGAACUCAAAAGAAAAGAUGUACAAAAGUGGAGUGUUGUUGGGAAUAAUAUUAGUGCUGCUGUUCGCAGAAGGCAGCCUGUCAUCACGUCGCCAAACUCGUGGAGUACACGUUAAAUUACCAAGCAGUGCUGGCACGGCGGCAGUGUCCGGAGCAGUUCGCAGUUUGAAGGAGAAGAUUGAGCAGCAGACAGAGGUACUGAAUCGCCUGGCCAAUGCCACUGAGAAGCUAUCAGAAAGUUCGGGAUUCUUCCUGCGUAAUUGUGCCUUGACCGACAAGUACGGAUACACCCGGAUCCAAGUGGAAGAGGGGAGCAAGCCUUUCGAUGUAUUUUGCGAACAGGUCUCGACGAGGGAGGCUGGACAUUGGUGCUGCAGCGAUUCAAUGGCACUCAUCGCAGCGCGCAGGAGUUCCGGGAGGGGUACAACAGCAUUGCGGCCGGGGAGUACUUCCUGGGCACCGACAAGCUGUACGCGUUGACUCACUCUCGCGACCACGAGCUGCUCUUCAUUGUGGAGUUUGUGGAUAUGACGACACGUACGUACCGGGCACAGCGGUUCGUUUUGCAGAGCCCAACCGCUCAUCUGAAAUGGGAAAGGGAGCAGGACACCGCCCGCUACAGUUGGUCCUUGUGGGAGCAGGAGAUUGCUCGCCUGCCACCUGGAAAAUCAUGGGAGUGGGAGUCGGCUAAGGGUUGUACUUCUGAUUUGUGUGGCCCAGAGCGAUUCAUUGUUUUUCUGCUCAAGUGGAAUUUCGCUAUGCAGAACAGUAGCCCGAUAAUGGGACGCCCUGCUAUUCGACUUCUCAAGCUGUUUCUGCGUCCAUCCAAUGCCUACUGGACAGUUCGAAACUAAUGAGAUACCUCUAACAUCACAUCCUAUUUUUUAUUUUGCUUCUCUUUGUUUCCUGAUCGAAAACGGAUUGCUCAUUAAUAAUUAUAGCUCCAUAACUG